UACGUAGGUGGCAAGCGUUGUCCGGAUUUACUGGGCGUAAAGAGCGCGCAGGCGGUCGUUCAAGUCGCGUGUGAAAGCCCCCGGCUCAACUGGGGAGGGUCACGCGAUACUGAUCGACUGGAAGGCAGGAGAGGGUAGUGGAAUUCCCGGUGUAGUGGUGAAAUGCGUAGAUAUCGGGAGGAACACCAGUGGCGAAGGCGACUACCUGGACCAGUACCGACGUUCAGGCACGAAAGCGUGGGGAGCAAACAGG
rnacentral:rRNA from 1 species